CCCGCGGGGUCCCGCCCCGCCCCGCCCGGGACAGCGCGGCCUCCGCCGGCACCGCCGCCGCUCCGGGCGCCCUCGGGUAAGGAGGGCGGCUGGCGAGGCAGAGCGGGCAGGGGGAAGGCAGCCAGCUCUCCAUCCAGCACGGUGUAUCCUCACAUAGGCAGCGCCGUGGCGGGGCCUGAGGGGGAGAGGCGGGCGCCCCUCCCUCAGCCCGCCCCUCCCUCGGUGGUCUCACCUGGCCGGGUCGCGGGGGAAGCGGAAGAAGGCCAGGAGGAUGUUGUUACUCUGCAGCCUGAUGGAUAAUCCCACACAGAAUCACUGAAUCAAUUAGGUUGGAAAAGACUUCUGCAAUCACUGAGUCCAGCCUAUGACGGAUCAUAACCUUGUCAACUAUACCAGAGCACCUCCAGGCUAUCUUAAACAUCUCCAGGGAUGAUGACCCUACCACCUCCCUUUGCAGACCCUUCCAAUAUCUAAUCACCCUUUCUGUGAAAAAAAUUCCUCCUGAUGUACAAUCUAAACCUUCCCUGGCACAGCUUAAGACCCUGUCUUCUCAUCCUGUUGCUGGUUGCUUGGGAGAAGAGGCCAAUCCCCACCUGGCUAAAACUCCUUUCAGGUAGUCAAAGAAGUAAUGGUAAAAGCCACAAGCUUUUUAAGUAAUGAAAUAAUUAGAUAGAGGUUGUACUGGUCAGAAGCCAUUAUUA